UACGUAGGGUGCGAGCGUUAAUCGGAAUUACUGGGCGUAAAGCGUGCGCAGGCGGUUGUGCAAGGCAGAUGUGAAAUCCCCGGGCUUAACCUGGGAAUGGCAUUUGGGACUGCAAGGCUCGAGUGCGGCAGAGGAGACUGGAAUUCCUGGUGUAGCAGUGAAAUGCGCAGAGAUCAGGAGGAACACCAGCGGCGAAGGCGGCGCUCUGGGCCGGAACUGACGCUGAGGAGCGAAAGCGUGGGUAGCAAACAGG
rnacentral:rRNA from 1 species